rnacentral:rRNA from 1 species
CCUACGGGUGGCAGCAGUGGGGAAUAUUGCACAAUGGGGGAAACCCUGAUGCAGCAACGCCGCGUGAGUGAUGAUGGCCUUCGGGUUGUAAAGCUCUGUCUUCAGGGACGAUAAUGACGGUACCUGAGGAGGAAGCCACGGCCAACUAAGUGCCCGCGGCCGCGGUACUACGUAGGUGGCGGGCGUUGUCCGGAUUUACUGGGCGUAAGGGGAGCGUAGGCGGACGUUUAGGUGAGGUGUAAAAUACUCGGGCUGAACUUGAGAGCUGCAUUUCAAACUGGAAGUCUGGAGUGCAGGAGAGGAGGAUGGAAUGCCUAGUGUAGCGGUGAAAUGCGUAGAGAUUAGGAAGAACACCGGUGGCGAAGGCGAUUCACUGGACUGUAACUGACGCUGAGGCUCGAAAGCGUGGGGAGCAAACAGGAUUAGAUACCCUUGUAGUC